GCUACGGGAGGCAGCAGUGGGGAAUAUUGGGCAAUGGAGGCAACUCUGACCCAGCAACGCCGCGUGAGCGAUGAAGGUCUUCGGAUUGUAAAGCUCUUUAAGCGGGGACGAAGAAAGUGACUGUACCCGCAGAAUAAGCCUCGGCUAACUACGUGCCAGCAGCCGCGGUAAUACGUAGGAGGCGAGCGUUAUCCGGAUUUAUUGGGUUUAAAGGGUGCGCAGGCGGAAGAUCAAGUCAGCGGUAAAAUUGAGAGGCUCAACCUCUUCGAGCCGUUGAAACUGGUUUUCUUGAGUGAGCGAGAAGUAUGCGGAAUGCGUGGUGUAGCGGUGAAAUGCAUAGAUAUCACGCAGAACUCCGAUUGCGAAGGCAGCAUACCGGCGCUCAACUGACGCUCAUGCACGAAAGUGUGGGUAUCGAACAGGAUUAGAUACCCCAGUAGUC
rnacentral:rRNA from 1 species